AUGGAGUCGCUGGCGGCCUAUGUGUACAAGGCGGCGAGCGAGGGCCGGGUGCUGACGCUGGCCGCGCUGCUGCUGAACCGUUCGGAGGCCGAAAGCCGGCGGCUGUUGGCGCAGGUGAGCCCGGGGCCUGGGGCCGGGCCUGGAGCCGGGGUCGGGGUCGGAGCCGGCGGGCAGAGAGCCACCCCCCUCAUCGCCGCCGCCCGCAACGGCCACUCCAAAGUGGUGAAGCUGCUGCUGGAACAUUACCGGGUGGAGACCGAGCAAACCGGCACCGUCCGCUUCGACGGCUACGUGAUCGACGGGGCUACCGCCCUGUGGUGCGCGGCCGGGGCCGGACACCUGGACGUGGUCCGGCUCCUGGUCGCCAACGGCGCCAAUGUCAACCACACCACGGCCACCAACUCCACCCCGCUCCGGGCCGCCUGCUUCGACGGCCGCCUGGACAUCGUCCGCUACCUGGUGGAGAACCGGGCGGACAUCCGCAUCGCCAACAAAUAUGACAACACCUGCCUGAUGAUCGCCGCCUACAAGGGGCACGCCCAGGUGGUCAGGUACCUGUUGGAGCAGCACGCAGAUCCCAAUGCCAAGGCACAGUGUGGGGCCACUGCACUGCACUUUGCUGCUGAGGCUGGCCACCUGGAAAUUGUGAAGGAGCUGGUGAAGUGGCGGGCGACCAUGGUGGUGAAUGGCCACGGGAUGACACCUCUGAAGGUGGCGGCGGAGAGCUGCAAGGCAGACGUGGUGGAGCUGCUGCUGUCACACGUGGACUGUGACCGGAGGAGUCGAAUUGAAGCACUGGAGCUGCUCGGUGCCUCCUUCGCCAAUGACCGAGAGAACUACGACAUUGAGAAGACCUACCACUAUCUGUACCUGGCCAUGCUUGAGCGGCACCGUGAUCCCAACAACCCAAUGGAGAAGGCCACCCUGCCUUCCAUCGAGGCUUAUAGCGGGCGGACUGAAUGUAGGACCCUGCCAGAACUCGAGGGUAUUCGACAGGACAGGGACGCCCUCCACAUGGAAGGGCUGAUAGUCCGUGAGCGGAUUCUGGGCUCUGACAACAUCGAUGUUUCACAUCCCAUCAUUUACAGGGGGGCAGUGUAUGCAGACAACAUGGAAUUUGAACAGUGUAUCAAGUUGUGGCUCCACGCUUUGCACUUGCGACAGAAAGGCAACCGGAACACCCACAAAGAUCUUCUGCGGUUUGCUCAGGUCUUUUCUCAGAUGAUACACUUAAACGAGCCGGUGAAGGCCCGGGAUGUGGAGAGUGUCUUGAAAUGCAGUGUCCUGGAAAUAGAAAGAGGGCUGGCACGGAUCAAAGACUCAUCUGAAGUGGACGUUCACGCAGCCAUGGACAAUUGUGAGUCGAACAUUUUUACCUUUUUGUACCUCGUGUGCAUCUCCACCAAAACUCAGUGUUGCGAGGAGGAGCGAGCGCGCAUCAACAAGCAGAUCUACAAACUGAUUCACCUGGAUCCCCGAACCCGCGAGGGUUCCAGCCUCCUGCACCUGGCUGUGAACUCGGGCACACCGGUGGACGAUUUCCACACCAAUGACGUGUGCAGCUUCCCCAGCGCUCAGGUCACCAAGCUGCUGCUCGACUGCGGUGCCGACAUGAAUGCCGUCGAUAAGGAUGGCAACGGCCCGCUGCACAUCAUCGUGCAGUACAACCGGCCCAUCAGCGACUUCCUCACACUGCACGCCAUUAUCAUCAGCUUGGUGGAGGCUGGCGCCCACGCUGACAUGACCAACAAGCAGAAGAAGACCCCAUUGGACAAGAGCACCACUGGCGUAUCCGAAAUCCUCCUCAAGACUCAGAUGAAAAUGAGCCUAAAGUGCCUGGCCGCCCGAGCCGUGCGAGUUCACAACAUCAGUUACAAAAGCCAGAUUCCUCAGGCAUUGGAAGAGUUUGUAGAAUUUCAUUAACUCUCGAGAUAGUCAGAUGAUUCUUUACCAAACUGGCACUAGGUAUGUCCAUAACGUAUCACUUCAUAGAAUUGGUCCUUUUUUUUAGCUGUUUAUUUUCUUACCAUUUCCCAUCUCUCACCAUAACCACACUGUGCCAUGUGGAAGCAUCAGAUACUUCUAUCAAAUGGGCUGGUAUGAUGGACAGUGGCUGUAAACAAACUUCUGAAAAUUUGUUACAAAAAUUAAUAAUAUUGUUUUUUUUUUAAUGUAUUGGGUUAAGACCUACCCCUGUGUCUUCUAAAGACUUGGUAAUCUGGAGUUACUGAAAUGAGCUGUUCUUUCUGGCUGUAGAGACAUAAAUCAGGAGCUCUCUCUCCAACUUUGUCUGCUGAUUGAGGAUUGGGAGCCCUGUUAAUUAUUGAGCGUUAUCAUCAGAUGUUUGAACUUGUACCAUUUAACAUGGCACACCUUCCUGUCCUCACACUUAUUCAUUGUUCACUUUGCAAUACAAGCAAGAUAUUCUACUGAGUGAAUCUCUGCUCAUUCAGAUUCAGACUAUUCAUGGGUUGCGUUAACAGAUGUUGAAGAUGCUAAAUGUAUGGUGAUGUUGGAAUAAUUCUGUAUGCAUUAACUUUUCACACUCAGUCACUGUUAAAUGCUGUUCCCAUAUUGACUGGCUCUGUGUUGGGUAAAUGUCAAUCCCAGCCGAAGUAACUGGCAGUAUACUUUCUACUUUCAGCCAAGGAUCAAUUUUCAAACAAAGGACUUCUCAAUUUAUGAUUUUUAAAAAAUUAAUUGGUCAACUUUUUUUACUCUGUUCCUGUGAGGGCACAGCUAAUGAAUAACUUGAGUGUGAAGAUCUCCUAUUUGACCCUUGGUCUGUGCUGGGUUGUCAUUAAGGUUGAGUUUUUUUUUAUUGAUUUUUGUGAUACGACUGUUGGGAAUGUCAAGAACAUCAGAGUGUACAAAUGGUACCACAGAUUCUAGAAAGCUACUUAGAUGUUCCUUGUAGAAGAUGUGAAAGGCUCAUAGCUCAUGAAGGAACAUAGGGACGAGCGAGGUUGUGAAAGUCUUUCACGCAGGGUGGAGCAGCAAUUGGAGAACAUCAACAUUCACUGUGAUAUGUGUUUGGCUGUUGGGCUGAGGUUUAAGAUUAGUUCCACGUUGCCCAUAUUCAGGAAUCCAUAACUGAUUCCUUGGCUCAUGUUGCUGGCUAUAAAUCAUUGGGGAAGAAAUGGAGAAAAUAACCCCCCAUCAAGAAUGCCAAUGGAAUAAAAUCAGAUCACGCCUCGUUGUUGAGCCUGUUGCUGCUUUAGAUGAAUUUGUUCACUCUCUCAUCCAAAUUCAGUGAUCAAAUUCUAGACUACUCUGCUCACCGGCAUCAGUCCUGGUGCCAGUUCUCUUCGCUUGAGAAUAGACUGGGAUCGUUUGGUAGAUAUUCAGAUCACCCUUUGAAUGGGUUUGAGUUUCUAAUAAUUGCUUUUGUUGUUUAGGUUUAUCUGUUCAUAAAUCUUAUUACUUUUUAAUAGAAAUAUAAAUAUAUAUGUGAAAAAAGAACUCCAAUCCUGUAACUGUAGGUUGAAUUUUGGGAAAGAGAAACACAUGGGGGAAAUUGAGAAAUCAUUGUCAAUUGACCAUUGAAAGUAGAGUGGUUUAAUUUUUUAUUACUUGAAUUAACCAAGUUUCCUGUUGGCUUAAAUGGGUAAGUGUUUGCAGAAAUGGGACUCUUUCACACUUUGCUAUCUUGUAGCUAAAGAAUGCUGCAAGAAUGGCAAUGCUAGGAAUAAAAAUUCAGAAAAAUCUUUGUUGUUAGUCGAACUAAUUGUUUUGGAGAGUUGAGUCGUGGAGGAAUGGGCGAUGAAUCGUGUGUGUCCCAACAUUGAUCUGAUUCUUCAAAGACCAAUUUUAUUGCCUUAUUUUCUAAAAAUUAGCAUUUUUAACUUAUUGUUCUCAAUUUGAACUGUAACAGGUGUUCUCUGACUUUGAUUUGCAAUUUUCAAACAUUUCUACGUAAAUUGACGCACUCUCCCAUUUGUCGUCGCACUUCCAAAGAGACCACACUGCUAUUGCACAAAAUGGUUCCUUAUCAGUGAAGGUGCAAAGCUGUACAGAAUUACCAGGGCAUUGGAAUUGUAGAAUCAUGCAGCGUGGCAGGCAUGAGAUCUGUCCUGCUCUUUGAAAGGACUAUCCAAUUAGUCCCACUGCUUCUGCUCUUUCCCCAUAGCCCUCUGAAACGUUAACGAAUACAGAUUUUUGCCAUGAUUUUGUGGGUAACUUCUCAUAAACUUAUAGGGAUCCAUGGUCACCAGUUUAUAAACAGCUGGUUUAGAGAUGGUUGCAAGCUUAAUAGCUGUACUGAAAGUUAAGAUUCAAUUAAGAUAUAGUUAAGGUGGAAUUGCCCUGACUUUGUUUGAAGGACAACCUUGAUUUAUAUAAACAAAAUUGUACUUGAUGCCUAAAUUAUUAAAACAAUACCUCACCCAAGUGAUUUAUAUUUUUUUCUCACUUUCCUAAUCUAGUCAGUGAAAACCAUAAUACGGUUCUGUUGCUAGGAUUAUUUAUGGUUUUACUGCCAAAUGCUACAGGCAAAAUGACCUGUGUUUAAUGUUGAUGCAUUUUAUGUGAUGCUCAUAAUUUAUCUCUACAACUGCUCCAGCUGUCGUCGUCAUGAAUAAUCAACCUGUAAUCGGCAGCACUUGUGUAACUGGAAGCACUGCCUCCAAGGACAACUUGAGCUUGAAUGUGAAUCUUUCUUUACUUCCAGUUUCUUCCUCCGAUGAGCUCUUCCUGGGGUUUUGGUCCAUUUGGUGUUGGCAGCCCUCACUGAAUUGGCCCUGCUUCAGGCUUGAGCAUAGAUGGCCAUCAGACUGAUUCUCCACUGAGGCCUGAGCUAUUAACCCUGUCCUAUUCUCAUCCAGUGUACCCACACACUCAUUUUCCAGUGAGUCCCUGGGUGGUAAUCCAAAAUGGAAGUACUGGCUGUCUUUUCCUCCAGCCCAGAGGGAUGAAACUGAUCUACACUAACCUCCAACUGCUUUCUCCAUUCCAAUUCAUGGCUCGUUUCUACCCCAGGCAGUGUCGUCUCUUGUUGGGGUGUGAUACUUCUACAGGGCUUGGUAUGCACACUCUCACUGUCAUGUUCACUGAAAUCUUGGUGGCAGCACUAAUAUGUGUUGUGGUAAGAUGGGGAUACAAAGCUUACAGAUCCAAAAUUACUUGUUAUUAACAGCUAAUGACUAACGUAACCACCUUAGUGUCCUAUUCCAUACCUAGUUAUGCUCCUGGAAAAGAAAAGGUGUCACCUUUCAACAAACAAAAUUUUAAGCCUUUUACGCUUCAGAGUCUCAGCUAACUUAAAUAUUUUAUCCAGAGUUCAUUACAGACUAGUUGGGGCUAUGGUAUUGUGGCAAACUUGGGCUGAAUAUUGGAACAUUAUUGGUGUAGGAUAUACUGUAGUGUUUGCAUGCAAAGUAAGAAUUCCACUGUCUUCGGCUGCUGUGAUGUGGCUGAUCUUAGUAUAGGGUGGGAUGUAGUCUGGUAGUUGCAGAUGUGGUGUAGCUGUUAACCUGUAAUGAAUUUUCUUUGGAAAGGUUGCACAGAUAGCAACCAGAGCCAUUGCUUGUGUUUAUUUCAGAUCACUGACCCAUGACCUUUUGUUCUUGCAUAUAUUUCGCAUUCUCUUUUAGGGCAGCAACGCUCACUUCUCUGCAAAUUUUAAAUUGGCCAUUGUUUAAACAGAGUUUUGGAUCUUUGACAUUUUAAAUGAUCAAACAACAUUUGAAAAAAUAUUUAAUUUUUUAGUUUUUAAAUGUUAUGUGGGUUGUCCUUGGCUCAGUGAAUAAAUGUGCAUUACACUAAGCAGUUUUUAAAUUAUUUGUUCAAGGGAUGUGGGUGUCGCUGGCUAGGUCAGCAUUUAUUGCCCAUCCCUAAUUGCUCUAGAAGGUGGUGAUGAGCCACUGUCUUGAACUGCAGUGGUCAAUGUUGUAGGAACAUCCACAGCGCUGUUAGGAAGGGAGUUCCAGGAUUUUGACCCAGUGACAGCGAAGGAACAGCGAUUAUAGUUCCAACUCAGGAUGUUGUGUGACUUGAGGAGAACUUGCAGGUGGUGAUGUUCCCAUGCAUCUGCUGCCCUUGUCCUUCUGGGUGGUAGGGAUUUGUGGGUUUGGAAGGUGUUGUCGAAGGAGCUUUAGCGAGUUGCUAGUUUGGACUAGGAAAAUUCCAGGUUUGGUCUAUAAUGCGUUAACCGAUCUUUUGGCUGUUACAAUUGGCCUCAUCCAUUACUAAGCUGUAUUGGAAAAAUGGGAAGGGUUUCCCACUCUUGGUGUGUAUGUCACCCAUUGGGAAAUGUGUGUGGGGCAAUUGGAUGCGGGUAGGAGUGAUUUGAUUCCAUGGUUGAAUAGCAUAUGGACGCUGCCCAGACUCUCAUAUGGUGAACUAUACUGGGGAGCACUAAUGGAGUUCAGUUUAUGUCUGAACAUAGUUCUCCGGGCGGGGAGUGAACUGCAAAAGAGAGAAUCAUAUUUUAAUUAAAAUAUUCAUCAAUAUUACCAAUUUUGUAUUCACCUUGUUUUCAAUACAUUUUUUUACAUUCUGUAAAUCCAGAUAGAAUGGCAACCAAAAGGGCAAUUUAGUACAGAUUGCAACCAUAAAUGUGGGGCAGACAUUAGUUAAUUGUAAAAUGUGUUGAAUGAAAAUAACUUUUGACCAAUACCAAUUGUGUAUCCAAAGAACAGAUUCCUUAAAUGUCAUUAGUCUCUUAGCUCCUCUGGCAAUGUCACACAAGUAACCAACAUGUAGAGGGAGCUUGGAAUUAAAAUGUGUCUGGGAACGUGCUUUUCUUUUUGCUUAAAAUUUAUUUUUCACUGGCCCAUUGCUAAGGCUAAACUCUUCAAACUAAUGGUUAUGUAGAAUUGUAUGGAGUGAAACUAAAUGAAUGCAUUAUGGUACACCAAACGCCUUAACAAUGGAUACAAAAAAGGGAGGGGAGAAAAACUGUUAGGACAUUCUGAUAUUCUUCGUCAAUUUUUGACACAGCCCAACAGAUCUGUCUGAUUUUUGAUUCUUGACAUACAAUUUGUCUUCCUACACGAGCUGUGCUUUUGCAGGGUUGAAUUUUUAAAAAAAAUUAUACGUUGUAUAUCGGAUCAAUUCGCAGCUUCUGAUUUCAGUCGUAAUUCCUAAAAUAAAAUAUUGGAACACUUGUGCCAUCCCCUCCUGUGGUUAUUACGAGUCUGUCGGAGAAGUCAUUAGCGGAAAGAGAAGUUUAGCAGUAUGAAUCAGCGACAAGAUAUUAAUGAAAGUUCAGGAUGGAGCAGAAUCUAUCUGACUUGUUUUGAGUUAAAAUGCCAUGGCACUUUGCACUAUUACUCCUCAGGACACAACUAAUGUAACUGUUUUCACUCAAUUCCCAAGAUGCAGAUUUAUUUUCUCUAUAAUUUUAAAAGCGGACUGCUACUUGGAAAAUUAUUAUUGGAUUUUUAAACUCCCCUUUUUAUCUGUUUUCCUCUGAAUUACAAUGUUGUACUGUCUGUUUUGUGGAAAGGGGAAAACAUGUAACAUUUUUGAUUUUCUGUAUCUUGUAAAAUGUGACUGUUUAAAUAACCUUAUAAUGUACACACUGAAAACAAAAAUCAGGACUUCUUGUCAUUAAAAGUCAAAGAUAGUGA